AUCAAGCUGACGAGUCCCAAAUAGGACGAGAUACACACCCUGGAU
rnacentral:hammerhead_ribozyme from 1 species